rnacentral:rRNA from 1 species
GUAGGGGGCAAGCGUUGUCCGGAAUUAUUGGGCGUAAAGCGCGCGCAGGCGGUCUCUUAAGUCUGAUGUGAAAGCCCACGGCUCAACCGUGGAGAGUCAUUGGAAACUGGGAGACUUGAGUGUAGGUGAGGAAAGUGGAAUUCCACGUGUAGCGGUGAAAUGCGUAGAUAUGUGGAGGAACACCAGUAGGCGAAGGCGACUUUCUGGCCUACAACUGACGCUGAGGCGCGAAAGCGUGGGGGGAGCAAACAGGAUUAGAUACCUGGUAGUCCACGCUGUAAACGAUGAGUGCUAGGUGUUAGGGGGUUUCGAUGCCCUUAGUGCCGAAGUUAACACAUUAAGCACUCCGCCCUGGGAGUACGGCCGCAAGGCUG